GCGCCAAGUCCUCCCACGUCCCUGUCAAAGCGAAAACAUUUAAUGUUCACUCAAAAUUCUUUAACAAUAAAGAAUCUUCCUCAUUAUCCAAUAAGGCCUCUUCCUUAAUACCCAACAAAGAGUUCUUCCUCAUUAUCCAAAAAGGACGCUUCCUGUUUAUCUAACAACGGGAGUGUGUAGGGAUAUAUAUAACUAUUAGUUAUCUGUAAUUGAGAUAAUGAAGACAUGUCGUUGAAUUGUAGAGAUUAGAUCGGAUAGCCUAGAUUUGAAAUAUUUAAAUAGCCCAAAAUCCUACUUAUCCAAAACAUUCAGCCUCCACCCCAUUCAAAACAUCCUGAUCUCCCUUCCUGCCCCCACCUCUCAUUUUUUUUAAUUGAUUUGCGACCCGCUACUUCUAUAAUAUUGACGUCGAUAUUUCCACCGUCGAUGGGCGAGCAUAUUUUUGGUGAGUUCACUCUCGGUUUCAUGGUUGCAGUUUGAAGCUAUCAUUCAUCUCGGAUGGCGGAUUCAUUGUAAUGAUAGCUAAAUCUGCUUUUCAUUCGUCGGUGGAGGUGAGUUCUGUUCGUUUGUGGAGAUCUAUGCGUCGAUGUAUCUGCUUUUUGGUGGAGAUCUAGCCGUCAUUAGAGAUCUAGGCGUCGGUGGAUUUUCUUUUCAGUGGAGAUCUAGUUGUCGGUGGAUCUAGGCGCUGAAUCUAAUCUUCGUUCGUCGGAGGAGGUGAGUUUCGUUGGUCGGUGAAGAGAUGAGUUUCAUUCUUCAGUAGAAAUCUAGGCAUCGGUGGAGAUCUUGGCAUUCGAAGACGGCCAUGAUCAGCGAUCUAUCUUCCUCCCUAAAUUUUGGUCCUAUGUAAUUGACUAUUAAUCGACUCUUUCAUUCUUUUUUUUUACCGUUCGUCGUCCGCAAUGAUCGGUGGCCAAACUUGUUCAAAUUUAAUAUGAUAUAUUUUGGGACUUAGAUAGGAUUAUGUUAUGAGUUAAUGUUUGAUGGUUAGGUCUAAUUGAAAUCGAUUUAAUUUAAGUAUUGUUCUGAAGUGGUUAUGUGAUAAUGAUUUUUACUCGAUUAAGUUAUUAAGAUGAAAUGUCAACUCUAAUGUUAACAGUAUCUUGAAUGAAUGAAAUAUUAAAUGAGUUAUGGUUAUGUUAAUCGGAUAUUUCGCAUUCAAAUCCACUUCUACAAAUUAAUAUUCUAAAUGAGACAAGAGAUAAUGAAUUGUAACAUGAUUAACUAUACACAAAUAUAACCUCAAUUGACAUAUUAAAAGAAUAUGAAACGAAAAAUCAUGUUACAUGAACUAUAUUUAAAGUUGAUCGACGGAUAUGACCAAUUCAAGUUUACUUAAUCUUAUUUGCUUAUAGGCUUAAGGGGGAGAGCAUCUGGCAAUGUACGACUGCUCCUUAUCAAUCCUGGACUAGGUGUCGGUUGCAGAAGAUAAGAGAUAUAGUGGUUCAGCACGUCUCUAGCGAUGAGGAUGCUACACCUUUAUGGGAUAGGAAUUACAUGGAUUGCUACUCUGUCUCUCUCGUUUGGAGCUCCAUUCAUACAUCGGGAUAUGUGGUGCCUUGGUUCUCUUUGGUUUGGCAGGCCCCUGCUAUACCUAAGUACUCUUUUGCUAAUUGGUUAGCUGUCUAGCGAAAGUUGGUCACAAAUUUAGAUAUAGCUACUUGGGGGUUGAGUCUGGACUCCUGUUAUCUUUGUAAUACAGGGACUUAUUGCAUUGAUCAUAUUAUGCAUUCUUGUGAUUGAAAGUUAUUGUUUUGGUAUAUUGACCAACUUGCCACGGUGAUGACUGGGAGGAUGAUAUUAUGUUGAAUGGUCGGAAGUUUUUUAGUGAUAAUGGCAAUGCUUGGGGGCUGACCGCUUAUUUUGGAGGUCCAUUGUUAGUCCUCUUUGGUAUGAGAGAUGUAGAAAGCGAGCUCGUGAGCAUCAUAGUUUAUCAAGAGAUAGAUGUCUUCAUAUGCAAGGAGAUAGUGUAUAGAUUACGUUAGUUUUUUGUUUUCCGUCAUUUUUCUUGUGGAACUUUGUAGAGUUUCAUUGGUGGGUUUGCAUCCUACAUUCCAGCAAUUUGAUGUAUAAAAAUAAUAUUAAUAAAAAAGAUAUUGACUCACAACGCUAUUAACUUACGAAAAUGUAACUUCAAUUUACUCUAUUAAAAGAAUCUUGAAUGAAGGAUCAUGUAAUUAUAUGAGCUUAAUUAUAU
rnacentral:lncRNA from 1 species